GACAGAACUGAGACCCACUGAAGAAAGGGUGCCUUCCCGAGAGGAAGAAAUACCUAGGGUUGAGAAGAGAGUACAGGGUCCCCACCACCCUCUCAAUGGGAAGUGAAAAGGUUUCCUUUUCCACUGGGACACACCCUCUUCCGCCUCUUUCAGCUUCCUCAGCACUACUCUCUAGCCCUAAAGUAGUUUUCAGCAAACACAGAGAAGCCUGGAAGGAAACAGCAGCAGACCCCCUCAUUGCUAAGCCCUCUGCCAAUUUCAGUGUGAGCAGAGUUUCAUUAAGAAGAUCCAACGUGGCAAUCAUCACUGGUACUCGACCUUGGGGAGGACCUAGACCCCAGGCCCUGGAGGAGAAGGGAAGGAGGCACCUGGGCUCUCACUUUCCUUUGUAAAUAUGGAGGACAUGGGCUUUGGGAAGUCUUGGACCCUGAAGCUCUACCCUGCCUCUUGCCCUUGUGGGUAGGGUGCAGAGGAGGGGGCUAGAUACCACCUGUUCCAACCACCCUUCCUCGAGGCGGUGGCAGCUCCAUGGGAGGCAGAAGUGCCCAAGAGGAGGGAGGGAGACUGAGAGCCCCCUCCUGCUAGAUACUCCCUUGGUCAGACCACUUGACCUUUGAGGGAUCCCCUUCCCAGUCACUUCUAGUGAAGGGAAGGGGGGUGGUCUCAGCAAAGGGUACCAACAGGCUGGGAGCUCCCAGAGGAACCUGGGAAGGUUAGUCAUUUCUGGAAUGGCCCCACCCUAACCCUUUUCCUGGCAGGACACCCCCUCUUCCAAGUUAAGGCGCCAACCUUUCUCCCCAGAUAAAGAAGCCAAGAUUUCUACACCAGGAAGUGUUGUGUGUGUACGUGCCUGUGCGUGCACGCACGUACACACACAAACACUACCCGAGACACAACCACAAACACAAACAUGCACACAGCUCCCCUGCUGACCCAGAAAUCUAGCUGGUCUGUCCUUGGGAUCUUUAUCACCAAGUACUCCAGGCGGACCCACCAAGGCCA